CCGCUUGAGCCACAUCCCCAGCCCAAAUGAAAGCAUUUAUAUGGCAGACUUUCUACAAGACUUUAAGAGAUUCUGUCUUAUGCUGAUCCUGUCAGAAGGCUCUGCAAUCAACCAGAAGUCAGAUUCUGUGCCUUAACAAAAAAGUACUCAGAGAUUCAGAAAAAAAAGACUACAGCAGGUAUUUAAAACCACUGAGAUGUCAAAGAAUAGACUCUUGGGCACAAGCUUCCAGUGGCAUCACUUGGACAAUUGGACAAUUUCCAGACUGCCAGCUGAUGAUUGGCUCACAGCGGCCCCAGCAAC